UUCUAACACAAAGAUGCAAAUCUAAGGAUGGGUCGCGGGUGAGGUAAUGGAGGAGAACGAGAGAUAAGGGUGGAGAGCGAAAGGAGUGUGAAGAUAAUUUUAUAUUUAUACCCUUGUCGAACCAAAAGCGUGCAAACAAUGGCAGCAACAUUAGCUGGAGCGCUGCUCUGCAACAACCAAAACACAGUCUCCUUCGCCUAAGAUAGAAACGAUAAUACGGAAAGUGGUUCAGAUUAUUCCGUGGGUUGUUGAAGGAGUUUACAUUUUGUGGCUCUUUCUACUUCCUUACCCCCCUGUAAGUAAACUCCUCCCCCUCUUCGUCUCCUUUUUUAAAACAAUGUCCCAUGUCAUAAAAAAAAUGCAAUUUGUGAAAUCAUAUACUCCAGUGUGUUUGAUUAAUACAGGGAGAUUUUGUGUGGGCUGUCAGUUCAGAGACUGUAAAUUCUCUCAUUGGACUUUCUCUCAAUUUCUUCUUCAUCUUGCCUUUCAUCGAUUCUGAUAUGGCCUUUUCGAACUCACAUCUGAUCGCUAGUUAGUACUUGUUGAGUAUAUUUUAAGCUUGAUGGGUUCGGAAAUGGACUUUCUGGCUAGUAGUCGGCAUAAGUUAUGUUGACGCCCCAGUUCUUCACCCGGUAAGAAUGGUUGGCACUCGGUUCUGUACCCUUUUUACAGUCUAACGUUGGCGUCGGUGAUUUUUCUUUCUUUUACCCGAUGUCUGAAGGAUUAUUCAACUCUGCUCUUGGGUGGAUUUUCAUGCUCGCUCCUUCGCUGUUCACCGAUUGCAAGAGGGAUAGGUACUGAUGUUCAUUGGAUGUUUUAUGGGGCUUCCAAAUGUUCCUUACAAACAGUAUCCUUCAUUCCUUGCACAAUCUUGUUCCUUUUUCCAUUCCCUUUAAAACACCACUCCAAGAUUACAAGAUCUUCUAGGAUGAUCACUUGAUUCGGCUGGAUGGCUUUUAAUAGCUAUUGGCGGGGCUGCAUGCCUGAUAUCAGUACUGUGGGCUCUUUACGGUCGAAUGGAUGGUAAUUUUGGGAGCAUAACAGACAGAUGGGGUUUUUUGGUCUGUUAUUUAGAAUCAGAGAGGUGGUUUAUUCUUUCAUUUGGGAUAUGUAUCUCAACAUAAUUUUCCAGCGGUGGCUGGGGUAGGUGAAUAUUUGCAAAAUGCUCAGAAAAGCAAGGUUGAUGUGGUGAGAUAUCUUAUAGAGUUGUUCCAGUGGUGGGCUUGGUUGCCUAUCUUCUCUGUUUGAAUCUUGAUGAGGACCUGUGGCCAAAUGUAGUUCUUUGCUAGAUUUGAGCUGGAGUCAACUUUACAGGUUUCAAACUACUUUAAAUGCGUGCAUUUUUUUUUCACCAUCUGAAAUUUUAGGGAACUUUGUAUCUCUAUUUGGCGUACAGUAAAUGUACUAGUGAAUUCGUGUGAUUAUUACAACGAAGCUCAAUAGUGAGUUGGGGAUGCUUUGCCUGUAUAUUGCUCCUUCUGUUGUUGAAAUGGUCAAAUCCAGAAACAAUAUAUGAAAGAACUUUUUAUAUUGUACGAGAGGAAGCUAUGUAUGAUCACCCCUUUCGUUUUCUUUUCAUUUUUUGUUCAAUGAUGAGUGUUAUGUUUUCAAGUUAUAUGAGCAGAAGUCAUAUGUGAUCGCUCGUCUGUUA